rnacentral:lncRNA from 1 species
GCAUUGGCUAUUCAGACUCGGUGCACUACAACGGGCGAUACAACAUGCGGUUUAAUUAUGCAUUUGGGUGCGAGGGUGAUACUAGUAAAAAUGGUAGUAAUACU